CUGGAUUUAAAAUAAAGCAAAAGCUCUGCAGUAUUUAAACAGAGAGGCACUCGGAAGUACCGUGUCUGGGAGGGGUGCCACAGGAGACCAAGUGGGAGUUCCCAGAGCACCUAUGCCAUUUGGCAAUGGGAUUUUUUCUUAGUAAAUAUGGGAAUAUGUGUGUGUAUGUGGAAGAGGAACUUACUGGAGGUCCUUCUCAUGGCUGUGGCAAUGUGCAUGUCCACUAGCUUUGUGAAAUGCAGAUGGAGUAUAAUUUUCCCCAAAUUGAUCUGUUCUACAUCAUUGAGUUUCAGCUAUUUGCAUUUUAAAGCCAGAAUCAAAUUUAGCUUAUGAUUAUUGUUGUGGAAAAUCAUUAUAAUCCUUUAAUUGUCAUGGCUCUUGAUGAUUUUUUAAAAAUUCACAAAUGUUAUUUAAUUCCAUAUUCACUAUGACAUAGGACAUUGAGCAGAGUAGGAACUAUCAAAUGUGUCUCCAACUUCAAACUGCCCCUCUUUUUCAGUUGGGAAAUUAAGGUUCUCAAUGGUUAGCUGAUGUGCCCCUGGCCAUACUGAUGUAAGUUAUAGAAGCAGGAACAGAAACCAGAGUGAAUGGCUCUGCCCUGUCCUGAGUUCUGUCCCAUCAAGAUGAGUCUUCAAAGUCUGUCAAGUGGGUGUGAUUAGCUUUGCCUUGCAGGCUCACUGUCUGUGUCAUGUAUAUGUAGGCUAGGUGGCACAGGGUGCCCAGUUGCUCCUGUCUCUUCCCAUCUCCAUGCAAUGGCAGGUGCCAUUUGGAGAUCAGAAAGCCUCCGGGGCUGAGAUGAGAGAACAAAAAGCCUUCCUCUUAACCAGCCUGAAAGCCAAGGGGCAACGCAUGUGCGUGUACAUACAUACACACACACAUACACACAAACACACCUGCCAGCAUGCACUAUGAAUAUACAUGCAUGUGUCAGGGGAAGAGCACCUCUCUGAAUUUCAAAGCUCCAGUAGGUUAAGAAAACAUCUCUUCUCAUCUGCUUCUGUUCCAUCUCUACAAUCAGCUCCAUAAAGGCUCCACCACCCAAGUACAUUCAUGACAACCCACUUUCCAGAUCUAAAUGAUACAACUCCUCCAAGUCCUUGGCUUUCAUUGUCAAUUGGUUCUUCCAUUUGCCUGCUGACUGACGCACACAGUUUUUGGCAUCCUCCAGUCCUGAAGACUCUGCUGGGUGUAUCCUUCCUGUCCAGUGGUCGUUUUUAGCUGGAAGUUGGGUAAAAAGAUGUAGCAAUAGCCAGGAUAGUGUCUCUUUGUGCCUCUCACCCCCUUAGCAAGCUCAGCUGGAGUGGCACUCACAGGAUGUUCCCACUGUGGCCUCCUCUCCCACGCUGGACUCCAGGGCUGGAACCAACCUUUGCCAUCACCUGGUCCAACCCCCUUCUUUUACAGACAAGGGGUUCCAGCCUUAAUUCUGGACCUAAGCUACCUGAGAGAGGUAUUUUUAUUCAUUGGUCAUGGGACAUCUAGAUAAACCAGGCCUUAUUUACCCAUCUGCAGUGCCUUGGGAAAGAGUCAGAGUUCCCCCACCUUUCAGUGAGAAAUUGUUUUCAGAUGCGAGUAACAAAGACGACUGAGGCCAUUUGAACAAACAGCCUGGGGCAGCUGUCUAGAGGUCCCUUUCAAGGCCUCAGGACCCCAGGGCUGUUUUCUGUCUUUCCCUCGAGCUGUUACCUCAGGUUCUCAAGAGGAUGGCUGCACCUCCAGGUGUGUGUCUGCAUAUCAGCCAGGAAGAAGAAGGCAAGAGGAGGGGACAUUGCUACAAACUUCUCACAUCUCAUUGGCCUAUACUGUGACUCUGCCAAAUGGCUUCUCUGGCUAUGGGAACCUGCUCUCUCUGAGCAGGCCAGAGAGACAGGACUGCCCCUGAUCCCCUCCCCAGGGGCAGCCCUCUACUAAUCAGUAACUGAUAGCAAUUGGUGGAUCACUACCCCAGCUCCCUUGCCCUUUGGGGUAAUGGUGGAUAAUGUCAGGACAUUGGUGCUACACUGUCCCGAAGCGGAAUUAAGCUUCAGUUUUGCCCACUUGUCUGAUAGUGCAUCUCCUGUUGGUUUACUUUCCUUCCUUGCCCACUCGCCUGCUGGUGCUUGUUGGGAUCACCUCCCAAUCAAACUGCUUGCACUAGAGCUGCUCUUUUAGGGUAAGUUUCUGCAGAAGAAACCAAACUAAGAUGAGGAGGAAGCCCAGGAUCAUAAAGUUAAGGAAAUUGUCCAGGGUUGCCAGUUAAUAAGUGGGCAGCCAGGAUUCAAGUCUGGGUCUCACAGAUUCCAAGCUUGACUUCUGAGCUUCUACCCUGAACCAUGACUGUCUGACAGCCCCUGCAUCAAAGGGGGACCACAGCAAAGCAGGGCUACCUUCAAGCUGAAAAAGGAUUUGGCUGCUCUUGGCCUCCCUCAAGUGUCAGAAACUGCAGGAACAGCUGGGGGACAGUUUUGAAUUCUCCUCCACCUCCACCUUUAGCUCAAGGCUCAUGAAAGCUAUCAAAGGAAAAAUCAGGCCCUCCCUGGAAGCUGUUUCCCUUCUUUGCGGUCUACAGUACAGUCAGCAUGGCUUCUCCUACCUUGGCCUUCUACCCAAAGUCCCUCUGGAAGGGAACAGAGCAGAUGCUGGUUCCCUGGGGCUCUGCUCAGAAAAUGGGCUCAUCGGGGAAGGGUGACAGAGAACACACUGUGUUCCUUCCCAGGGAAGAGCAAGUCCCACCUGGCAAAGUCUUCCAAGGCUGAGGGAACAAGUACAGACUCUCCCCACAGGCAUGUCCUCCUACAGCUGGCCCUCACUAAUGCAAUCUUCAAGACUCAGGACGAACAUUCCUGGGGUGAGGGGGGGUGGAGGCAGAUGACACAUGCUAAACUC